rnacentral:lncRNA from 1 species
GGCGUGGUGGCACACGCCUUUAAUCCAGCACUUGGGAGGCAAGAGGCAGGCGGAUUUCUGAGUUUGAGGCCAGCCUGGUCUACAAAGUGAGUCCCAGGACAGCCAGGGCUACUCAGAGAAACCCUGUCUCGAAAAACCAAAAAAAAAAAAAAAAAAAAAAAGGUUAAAGAUAUUUCUGAUCAACAGAGCUAGUUCUCAGCUUUCAGUGACCUCAUUCUCUCACCCUGUGUUUGCAAGAAAAGUAAGCAGAGAUUACAAUUUUUCCAUGUGAGUUACAAUCACAAAGCUUACAUAAUUUUUUUCUACUUAUGAACCUUUUCUUUGUAUGCAUUAAUGUUUAAUGAAAACAUCUUUUAUGUUAUACAAUGUGGUGGUUUGAAUAUGCUUAGCCCAUGGGAAAUGGCACUAUUAGGAGAUGUGGCCUUGUUGGUAGAAGUGUAUAUAGGCAGACAUUGAGGGCUCCAAUGCUCAAGCGCCACCCAGUGUAGAGACAGUCUCCUCCUGGCUGGUCUUUGAAUUAAGAUGUAGAACUCUUGGCUCCUCAGAAACCAUGUCUGCCUACAUGAUGCCAUGUUCUCACCAUGAUGAUAAUGGACUGAACCUCUGAAAGUAUAAACCAGCCCCAAUUAAAUGUUUUCCUUUAUAUAAGAGUUGCUUUGGUCAUAGUGUCUGUUCACAGCAAUGAAACCCUAACUAAGACACAUAGCAGUCAUAGUCUCUGUAUCAAGUAUAUUUUUGUCUACACAUUUACUGGCAGUGAUCUUGUACUUUGCAGUACCUUCAGAAUCCUCAAGCUUUGGUUACUAGAAAUUGGGGUAAAUCUAGAGUCUGAAAUGUAACACAAGUGCUCACAGGCUGACUGUCUCUAAAAGCAGCUAGUGAAAAAGAAAAUGAAUGUAGAUCCUUGAAUUCAGAAGUCUUCAGUCUCAGAAUUUGCUCCACUUCAGUAUAAGUGUAGUAGAGAGUGAGUUCUGUUGCUUUGCCAUUCUCAGCAUUAAGUACAUAUGCCUUUUUAUAGCUUCCUGUUACAACUCGGAAUACCUACAUGAUAUUUUGUCAAAUGAGGGCCUUGGGCUUGAAGGGGUUUUAGUAGCUUUUAGUCUAAUAUAAACUUAAUUGAGUACUGUAGAAAGAAUAUCUUGGAUUUUACUUUUAAAUACAUGACACUUUAUUAGGAGCCAGGGUACCAUGUUUAAUUAGGCUGAUGCCCUUCAUAGUACCUUUGCUUUAUUAGCUUAGUGAUCUUUUACAUGAUGAGUAGAAGUGCCCUAAUAUAUUAAAAUGGUGUGUAAUAGACAAUUAAGAGUGGACAGCCACUAAAAGUCUGUGUCAUUCUAUCAGUUUACUAACCUAUUCCCUAACAGGUUGCUUCCCUAGAAGACACUGGCAGAUCUCUGCUCUGUGAGAGCUGGAAAGGGGACUGGCAGGUCUGGGGAAGGGUGCAGUGAAUAUCUGUCAUUCCCAUAUUUUGUAUAUUUGAGCUACCCUUGUUUAAUGAUAGUUGCAUAAUCAACCCAUAGAUAACCCUGAUUUUUGUUUUUGUUUAAGUUUUUUCCAUUACUGUUCUUAUUAGAACAAUUGACUGUUCUUCAGCGGGAAUAUUAAAACCAUUUCACAGUCUUUAGCAGUUUCACUGUGCCUUGAUGUCUCUAGCUGUGUAUGGAUGGACUGUAAAGACUGCUUGUAUUGUAGGAGAAGAUAGGGAAUCAUUGCUAUCAAGCUGAGCACUGGGGAAGUAGAGACAGGAGAACUGCUGGAAGUUUGAAGCCAAAUGAAAAGUACAUUUGAUACAGUAUUACAUGCCUUUAUUCCCAGAACUCGAGAGACAGAGGUAGGCUGAUUCCAGUGAGUUUCAGGCCAGCCAGAGUUACACAGUAAAACCAAGGCUCCGAAAGAGAAGAGAAACCGAUUUUGAAACAUAUGAGAUAAUCUUAAAAUUGGACUACCUAUGGGACUUCUGGCUAGGCUGGACUAGUAGUCCAUUCCUAUGAUAAAGGAUCAUCCAUCUAAACUGCUGGAACAGCAUACUUGUCUGUUGAGAAUUAUAAAUCUUACCUUUUGCCUUAGAAAUUCCUAAAUCUACUGAUGUGACCAUGUGGUGAAUUCAGAAUAUACAAUUUCACAGUAGUGCUUUGCUCUGGCGAUUGUUCAGUGUUCAAAUGGCAAACCUCAUGUUUUGGAGAUUGAAUACAUAGAUGUGUACUGUAAAAGCAAUACCUCUCUCCUGAGGUACUUUAUGCCAAGGGGUAUCUGGGAAUGGUUCUAUUCAGUUUUUUGUCUUUGCAACAAGAACUAUCUAAACUAUAUUAGCUACCUUUGGUGCUGAUUCAAAAAGAUUUAUUGUGAACCCUUAAAAACUGGACCAGCAAUUUAACAACUAAAACAAGAUGUUAUCACUAAGGUAUAGGUUUUGCCUAGAGUAGUAGGAUACAUCUUUAAUUAUAAAUAACAUUGGAGAAUCUAAGACAAGUUGUUCUCUUGAGUUUGAAGCCAACUGGGUCUAGCCAGAACUAAAUAUAACAAGACUCUGUCUUUUAUAAAAAAGUUACACACAUUCACACACACACACACACACUACUAUAUAGUAGCCAUUCCUUUUGAAAGCUUAGCCUUUAAGAAGACUGAAUUAAGCCUAACCCUGGUGAUAUACAUCUUUAAUCCCAGGCUUUGGGAGGCAGAGGCAAACAGAUCUCUGAGUUCUAGACUAGACUGGUCUACAGAGGGAGGUCCAGGACAGCAGUGCUAUACAGAGAAACCCUAACUUGAAAAACAGAUUAUAGC